UAAUGGACUUGCUGGCUUUAAUGUAAAAAGCCUGUUGUGUAACUUUAAUGAGGCAGUUGGACUAAAACAGUAUUGCUCAUCAAGGUAAACAUCUGAGGAAUAAGGAAAUUGUUACUUGUCCUUUUACUCAGUGUUCUUUUAAUCGCACGUUUACUAAAGUUUUACAUCACAUAAGUCAUUUUCACAAUCAUUCUACUUUAAAAGAUUUCAAGACAGAGCUUAUUGUUCUCUGAACUUCCUUGUUCGCUGAACGGCAGGUUGAAGCAGAAUUUGCCCGUCUUACAUCUGUUGACCUGAAAGGGUUCCUUUUUGCUGUGCUUGACCAUUAUGGAGAGGUUCGUGGAGCUGUACAAAAUCAAGAGUGGCAUAGGAGGGCUAACUAGGCUCAUAAGAUGCUUCGGAGAUGAUAGCCCUACACAAAGGAAGAGGACAGAGGACCUAAUUUUCUAAAGGAAGAUCCCUCACACACUUUCAAGACUGUGAAGCCGACAGGUAUUGAAGACACGUUUUCUAAGAGGAUGAAAGUUGGCAUUGCGAUGGUGAAAGAAGAAGACAUCAUCGAUGUGUUGGUUGUCCUUGAGGUGGCAGUAAUCCUGUCUAAUCUGAGGGAUGUCUCAAGUGCCAUUUCCAUGCUGAUGGGCCUUCUUUUUGCCCUCAACAUAGACUAUCCAAAGGAACUUAAGGACAUCUUUGAAGUCAUUCAGAACAUCCUAAUGAACAUUGGUGGAAGGCAGUGUGUCUCACUAGUGCAUGGUCUAAGAAACAGACUCUUGCAGAAAGCCAUGCAGAACUGUAAUUGUAUGUUCCUUAGUGUUAAGGACAGUUUUUAUUUUACUGUUUGUUUUUUUAUUCUUGCAUGUUCUCAUUCUCACUUUUGUAUGUCACUAAAUGACUACACUUUACAUUCCAGAUUAGACAAUUACUCAUUUGUUCAUGGUUUAAGAAACUUAUGUGAACAACAAUAUAAUGCUGAACUUUGCAGAUGCUUAUCUCAUGCAAGUCAGUAGUUUUUCCUUUGUUUUGCAAUUGAGCAGACUCAAACUGAUGUUUCUGAAAUAUCCAUAUUAUCAAAUGUUUCAGAAGCAUGCACUCAUUUUCAGAGAUAUUGGUUCUGUGGAAUUUGUUGCAAUUGUAAACGAAGACAAAUACAAGAGUUUGAUGUCUUACUUGUUAUAAACUGA
ensembl:lncRNA